ACAAUUUAUAUGCGACUUGUGUACGUGUUCCAUUUCAUUGCGCCCCUCCCUAGCCAUAUGUCGGCCUAGUUAUCAAAGGGCCCGGGCAGGUUCUUAUUUAGGGUUGUGCACGCAGUAAAAGGUCAUGCAAAACGUUUUACAAAGGCGCCGCCACUCUUCGAUAAAUUUCCUGCUGGCGCCCAUGGACAUCGCGGACGAAUAUAAUUACUCGG